rnacentral:rRNA from 3 species
UUAAAUUGAAGAGUUUGAUCAUGGCUCAGAUUGAACGCUGGCGGCAGGCCUAACACAUGCAAGUCGAACGGUAACAGGAAGCAGCUUGCUGCUUUGCUGACGAGUGGCGGACGGGUGAGUAAUGUCUGGGAAACUGCCUGAUGGAGGGGGAUAACUACUGGAAACGGUGGCUAAUACCGCAUAACGUCGCAAGACCAAAGAGGGGGACCUUCGGGCCUCUUGCCAUCAGAUGUGCCCAGAUGGGAUUAGCUUGUUGGUGAGGUAACGGCUCACCAAGGCGACGAUCCCUAGCUGGUCUGAGAGGAUGACCAGCCACACUGGAACUGAGACACGGUCCAGACUCCUACGGGAGGCAGCAGUGGGGAAUAUUGCACAAUGGGCGCAAGCCUGAUGCAGCCAUGCCGCGUGUAUGAAGAAGGCCUUCGGGUUGUAAAGUACUUUCAGCGGGGAGGAAGGUGUUGUGGUUAAUAACCACAGCAAUUGACGUUACCCGCAGAAGAAGCACCGGCUAACUCCGUGCCAGCAGCCGCGGUAAUACGGAGGGUGCAAGCGUUAAUCGGAAUUACUGGGCGUAAAGCGCACGCAGGCGGUCUGUCAAGUCGGAUGUGAAAUCCCCGGGCUCAACCUGGGAACUGCAUUCGAAACUGGCAGGCUUGAGUCUUGUAGAGGGGGGUAGAAUUCCAGGUGUAGCGGUGAAAUGCGUAGAGAUCUGGAGGAAUACCGGUGGCGAAGGCGGCCCCCUGGACAAAGACUGACGCUCAGGUGCGAAAGCGUGGGGAGCAAACAGGAUUAGAUACCCUGGUAGUCCACGCCGUAAACGAUGUCUACUUGGAGGUUGUGCCCUUGAGGCGUGGCUUCCGGAGCUAACGCGUUAAGUAGACCGCCUGGGGAGUACGGCCGCAAGGUUAAAACUCAAAUGAAUUGACGGGGGCCCGCACAAGCGGUGGAGCAUGUGGUUUAAUUCGAUGCAACGCGAAGAACCUUACCUGGUCUUGACAUCCACAGAACUUUCCAGAGAUGGAUUGGUGCCUUCGGGAACUGUGAGACAGGUGCUGCAUGGCUGUCGUCAGCUCGUGUUGUGAAAUGUUGGGUUAAGUCCCGCAACGAGCGCAACCCUUAUCCUUUGUUGCCAGCGAUUAGGUCGGGAACUCAAAGGAGACUGCCAGUGAUAAACUGGAGGAAGGUGGGGAUGACGUCAAGUCAUCAUGGCCCUUACGACCAGGGCUACACACGUGCUACAAUGGCGCAUACAAAGAGAAGCGACCUCGCGAGAGCAAGCGGACCUCAUAAAGUGCGUCGUAGUCCGGAUUGGAGUCUGCAACUCGACUCCAUGAAGUCGGAAUCGCUAGUAAUCGUGGAUCAGAAUGCCACGGUGAAUACGUUCCCGGGCCUUGUACACACCGCCCGUCACACCAUGGGAGUGGGUUGCAAAAGAAGUAGGUAGCUUAACCUUCGGGAGGGCGCUUACCACUUUGUGAUUCAUGACUGGGGUGAAGUCGUAACAAGGUAACCGUAGGGGAACCUGCGGUUGGAUCACCUCCUUACCUUAAAGAA